CUCGUUCGACAGUUCGUAGGGAGAGCGCAGCAACCGAUUUCCUCGCACGAACAAAGGAACCGAGUUAAGUUUUCUUUUAAAAGAAAAAAAAGCAAAAGCAGUCAGCGAUGUCUCUCCGCUUCACACUGGUGGCAAUAUGCCUCUUCGUCCUGUUUUACUAUGCUGCCAGCGUGCCCUUCCCCGACUGCCCAGAAGGAUGCCCAUCUGACUGUCCGGUCCAAUAUUUUAACGAUCCCGAGCGGUCCUGUCUGAGGUGCGAGUGCAGCACGAACGACACGUCCAGCCCUUGGGACCCCCCCGCGGGACUCCCCCUCCAGCUGUGAACUCCGCUGUUUAAGGGUUCUUGGCAGGUGUCGCUGCCCGUUGCCUUAAAAGGGCAGGACUGUUGUGAUUUGAAUGUGUUCGGUUAAGGGUUUUUUUUUUUUUCUUUCUUUUUUUUCUUUUUUUGUGUGUGUGUUUAGGUGGUCAUUGUUGAUCAUGUAUUUUCACCUGAAAAUGUUUGAGUUUUAGCGUUUUUUCCUCUCUCUUUUCACCAUAUAUUUUGCAUGUUGCAUAAUGCUGAAUGUCGUGAAAUUAUCAUCAUUUGAAGGGUUAGUGUGAAGGGUAUUUAGUUACUGAAAUGUACGUUUAAAGCACCGUAGUGUUUAACCUAAAAAUCCUAGAGAUCGAGGAUAGGGGAAGUACGUGCUUACAACUUCUGUUAUAAAACCACCCUAGGUAUACGGGCAUAAAUAUAUUUCCUUGUGUUUUUUUUUUUUUUUUUUUUUUUUUU